rnacentral:rRNA from 1 species
AACGUAGGUGGCGAGCGUUAUCCGGAAUUACCGGGCGUAAAGCGCACGUAGGCGGAUUUGUUAGUCAGGGGUGAAAUCCCGGGGCUCAACCUCGGAACUGCCUUUGAUACUGCAAGUCUCGAGUCCGAUAGAGGUGGGUGGAAUUCCUAGUGUAGAGGUGAAAUUCGUAGAUAUUAGGAAGAACACCGGUGGCGAAGGCGGCCCACUGGAUCGGUACUGACGCUGAGGUGCGAAAGCGUGGGGAGCAAACAGG